CUCAACUAGAAAGUCGGUCGAAGAGAUGUGAACGAAGAAACCGAUUAAUACUGAAUAACUGAGUGAUUCUGAAUUCCUUCUAAUAUUACAUUCGGAAAGUUUAGAGAACGCGCAAUCAUCCUUUGUAUACCAAAUAGAACUUUUGACCACCGUGGAGACUUUGCUUUCGCCUUCAAGACGGACAAUUCAGCCAAGACCGAAGCGCAUAUGAAAGGGGGGCAUGGCUUAAAAGUUAUACACGGAGGGGAUUUUACUCCUGGAUAUGGAGCCUGGUUGUUAUUCGAUAUGAAACUAAUCAGAGUGCAGCUGGACAUACCACAUUAUGGAGUUUGUGUGAACGACGGCUUAUGAUCAAGCUUUGUGGACACAUGCUGAGAGUCGACAUACUGGCUGGAACUAUCAACACCAGAGCUGCUGACUGACAUGAGUGAGCUCAAAUAUUUGAUGUCUGAGGUCGGCAAACGGUUGGCUACGAUUGCUCCCAUGGCGGUCAUAUUUGGCGUAGUGUGUGUAAUGUGUGUGAAGUUUAAAUGGUUCAUACUGACAUGAUGUGCACAUGAAAUGUACUCUGUCUCUCUGAAAUUGUCACGCCCUGACCUUAGAGAUCCUAUUUAUGUCUCUAUUUUGGUUUGGUCAGGGUGUGAGUUGGGGUGGGUAUUCUAUGUUCUAUUAUUUGUAUUUCUAUGUUUUGGCCGGGUAGGGUUCUCAAUCAGGGACAGCUGUCUAUUGUUGUCUCUGAUUUAGAACCAUACUUAGGUAGCCCUUUUCCCACACCUGUCUUUGCUGGAAGUUGACUUUGUUUAUGGCACAUAGCUUUUAGCUUCACGGUUUGUUUUGUAGUGUUUAUUGUUUUGUUCGGUGUCUUUUCUAAAAAAUAAAAAAAAUGUACGCUCACCACGCUGCGCCUUGGUCCUCUUCUUUCAACGGCCGUGACAGAAAUGCA